GAUGAAGAACGCAGCGAAAUGCGAUAAGUAAUGUGAAUUGCAGAAUUCAGUGAAUCAUCGAAUCUUUGAACGCACAUUGCGCCCGCCAGUAUUCUGGCGGGCAUGCCUGUCUGAGCGUCAUUUCAACCCUCAAGCAACUUCUGCUUGGUGUUGGGGAUCGGCCGUCAAACGCCGCCCCCGAAAUCUAUUGGCGAUCUCGCUGUAGCUUCCUAUGCGUAGUAGUAACAUCUCGCAUCUGGAGAGCGGCGCGGUCAUGCCGUAAAACGCCCAACUUCUCAGGUUGACCUCAGAUCAGGUAGGAAUACCCGCUGAACUUAAGCAUAUCAAUAAGCGGAGGA
rnacentral:misc_RNA from 1 species